GGCACUUUGGCGGAGUGGUUAACGCGAUGCCCUGCUAUUGUGUAAAACAAAGAUAGGCAUUUCCUUCGGGAGCGAGUGUUCGAAUCACUCAGGUGUCG
rfam:Sclerotinia sclerotiorum 1980 scaffold_9 genomic scaffold, whole genome shotgun sequence.